ACUCUGAAUUCUAUAGAUCUUUUGCGUCUGUUUCAUCUAAGAUCCUUUAUAAAUAGCUCCUUUGGGUUUUUAUUUUCUGAACAUGUUUCAGGUUUCCGUUCGACCAGAAGUUUACCGGAGAUUUUCUUUUGGCAAUCAGUUACGGAGAGAUUUGUCACGGCGACAUCUUCAGUGACAAAGAUUCACAAUCACCAGAGAGUCUCUAGCGGAGAGAGAGUUGCUGGUGAAAUAAAAAAAAAACUUCAAGCUCCAACAAGUCUGUUUUGGUAGGGGAUCAAAACUGUGAGAUUCACAGAUGUUAAAAUCAUUUCCGAGAGAGAUGACUGGAAACUCGAAGCCGGCAGAAAGUAUUUCUUCACAAGAAACUACUCCACCAUUGUUGCUUUUGCCAUUGGCAAAAAAUAUGUAGCUGGAAACGGAUUCCAUAUUAUUGGUGCUCACACUGAUAGCCCUUGCCUCAAACUCAAGCCCGUUUCAAAGAUAACUAAAGGUGGAUGCUUGGAGGUUGGUGUUCAAACUUAUGGAUGUGGCCUUUGGUACACCUGGUUUGAUCGUGACAAACUGAGAUGUAGUCUCUUUUUUUCAAAACUCAAUUUGGUCAUUGGAUGUGUGAUUAUUUGUCCUAGCUUUUGGUGGGAAUCUCAUUAACGGACCUGGAACUUUAAAACUUGGUUUUAAGACGACAACGUCGACUAUUUGGGCAGUUGGUGUUGAUGCCACCAACAAGACUAACAAUGGUGACGUUAGCAGACAAGUUCGAGUUCCUUUACAGCUGAUGACAAAAUGUUUAGGUUUGUGUUAUUCCUAAAAAGUAUGUUUGUCUUAGGUAUUGGUCGAUCAGCUUCAAGAGAGGUGCUGCCACUUAAUGAGUUGUUUCAAAAGCAUUUGGGAGACAGGCGAGCCAUGCCAAUGAUAAUGAUAGUUGUAUGGAUCAUUUUGAGAAAAUUACCGCAGCUCAGAUGUUAAGAUCUAGAGAAAAAGGUUAAGGACAGUGACAAAAAAAAAGAGAGAAAGGCUGAGGAGAUUUUUCUGAAUCACUUGGAAAAAUUUACAGACUUGAGGCAAAAAAAAUGAUUCAGAUUUCACCACAAGAAAUCAAGCAAAGGAGUGAAGACAAAGAAGAAACAGGAAAAUUACCCUUCAGAUCACCAUUUGAGAGAAGUCAAAACUGUGCUUAUUAGGUUGAUAUUAAUAAAAUUAAGGCUGAGGAAAAAAAUUCGAUAUUUGCAGAUGGAAACAGGAAAGCAGAGUGUUUUCUCCAUGAAGGUGGAGAAAACGAGAGAUCCAAUGAGAAGGAUGAUGAUGAUGAUGAAAGUUUGAAGCAAAUAAAUACUGCAAUAGAGGACCUAGCAUUAACUCUAGAAGCAUGUAUGAUGAAAGUGGAGAAGAUUUUAGCGAAGAUUAGAGAAUGGAAACUAUAGAAAGAAACCAGGCCAAAAAUGGAGUCCCCGUUUAGAAUGGUUCAACAAAAACAAUGUCAAACAUUAUCAACUGUUUGGUUCCCAACACAUAAAAAGAGGAAAAGAGGGAGAAGCAGAAUCAUGGAGAUCAAGAACGGGUUUACAACGACAGAACAGAAUCAUGUGUUAUACAUUAAUCUUCUGCGUCUAUGCUUAGACAUCUCCUUUCACUUUCAACUUCUAUCAUCUCUAUACAAACAUGUAAAUUGUGAUCAUGUUGGCUGAUGCCUGAUGGUAUUAUUGUUGAUGUUGGUUUUUUCGAAUGUAUUAAGCUAAUCGCUAGCAGUUAUCGAAUUUAUAAUUUCAUACUUAUAUUAUAAUUUGUUUUUUCA